UAAUUCUUUCAUCUUCUCCGACUCUCUCUUUUGCUAAGAAAAAAAAUAUAUAGUAGAAUUCUUUGAAAAUGGCUGUUUUUCACACUUUUCUUCAGAUGCACAAGCCGGCAGUCACUGACAUAAAGACAUGAAGUUCCUUGUUUUUAUGUUUAUAAGAACAGGAAAUAAAGGGUUACAAGUAGAGGGAUUCAAAAUGCUUGCCAAAUUUGAAUGUCCACUCUCACUUGUCUACCCUUGAAGGCAAGCACUGAACAAGCUACCAUGGACCAUGAAAGAGACCUUGUAGAUUUCCAAAGCAUCCCAUUGGCCUCCUGCCUCCUUCUGUGGAUGAUGGCAUAUAGUGAUGGAAUUGAGAAGUUUUGAAAGCCUCUCCAUCUAGAUAUGACUUUCUCUUCUACUACUGCACAGGUAUGUGGUCUUCAUUUAAUAAUGGGCACCAUUGCUAUGAUCGAUGAGACCUUUGGUCAUCCAUUGGGAAAGGAGAAAUACAUCACAUGUGUUUUCCAGAAUGGCAAAUGUAAAUAAGUGAUACAUUCAGUG